rnacentral:rRNA from 1 species
GAUGAACGUCGGCGGCGUGCCUAAUACAUGCAAGUCGAGCGAACAGACGAGGAGCUUGCUCCUCUGACGUUAGCGGCGGACGGGUGAGUAACACGUGGAUAACCUACCUAUAAGACUGGGAUAACUUCGGGAAACCGGGGCUAAUACCGGAUAAUAUAUUGAACCGCAUGGUUCAAUAGUGAAAGACGGUUUUGCUGUCACUUAUAGAUGGAUCCGCGCCGCAUUAGCUAGUUGGUAAGGUAACGGCUUACCAAGGCAACGAUGCGUAGCCGACCUGAGAGGGUGAUCGGCCACACUGGAACUGAGACACGGUCCAGACUCCUACGGGAGGCAGCAGUAGGGAAUCUUCCGCAAUGGGCGAAAGCCUGACGGAGCAACGCCGCGUGAGUGAUGAAGGUCUUCGGAUCGUAAAACUCUGUUAUUAGGGAAGAACAAAUGUGUAAGUAACUAUGCACGUCUUGACGGUACCUAAUCAGAAAGCCACGGCUAACUACGUG